CCUCAGGAAUACAGGCAACUAUCCACACGUGUUGUUGAUUUACAUCCGAUAACCAUCGCUCAGAAUGCGCGUACUUCAGGGGGAGGAAAUAUUACCCUCGUGCCAACGAAAGCAAUCACUGUAGGCCCGCUUGAAACCUGGAAAGCUGAAAAAGUAUCGAUAUGGCAUGCAGGAAUGCACGACAAUCCCUUUGGACAGCGGCUUACGACGCUUAUGAUAUCAAAAAGACUUUCAGAUAGUUCCGUACCCAUGUCUCUUCUUGCUGAUCACCCGAAUGUGCAGUUCAAUUUUUAUCGG
rnacentral:misc_RNA from 1 species